rnacentral:lncRNA from 1 species
AUGCCUACUGCUCAUCAUCACUGUUUAGAAGGAAGGAACAAGAACAGUGACUAUCCAGUGGAAAAGCAGCAGUCACCUGCUGUGUCUUGUAUGGAUACUGGGAACCCUUCACUGGUCAGUACAACUUUGCCAUUUCAUGCUGUAGAUGGCCCUCUUGGGCACAAAUUAGUGUUGUGUACUUCUUCAAGGAGCUCAAGGGAAAAUGUCAACGCUUGUAGUUCAGCCCUGACUUCAAGUGAUCUCGGUCCAUCUAAUUUGGAGUUCCUUCAGCCUAUUUUGCAGUCCUCACAGAUUUCUGCUGCUUUGUACUGUUCAAUCCAGAGGCUGAAGCAAGAAAUUGCUUUCAUGGGGAGCCGGGCCUCCCUUCCUCUGGAGCCCAAGUCUUUUCCAGUUGGUGGCAGUUUGUGCUUUGCUCCUGAUGAUGCAGCUCCUACUAUCCUGAGCACAGGAGAACAGCAAGCUGGAAUAAAAAGCAGUGCUGCUCAGGCAAGAUUGAGAUGGAGCAUCCCAUUUGCUAAAGGCACGGGCCUUGGUGCAGUGACGAGGGACUUUGGGCAUGCUGAACCUAUCUCUGUCUCUCACAGAUGCAGAUACAUUGACUCGAGCAUGUGGAGAACCAAACUUUCAGGUGGCAUCCAUCCAGAUAGGCUGUCUGCUGGGCUGGGCUCUGGCAGCCUUGUGGAUACAGAAGAAGAUUCUUCCAACGAUUGCUCCCCUUAUUUCAGACGCCAGUCCUGGGCAAAGCCAACUCUGGAAACUGGUGGGCUUUAUGUUCAUACAAAAAAUCAUUCAUGUGAAAAGGUUCUUAAAGCAGAAGGGACAUCUGGUGAGGCAUCCCUAUGUGCUAUGCCUUGGACAAAAAGCCACCCUGAGGGUCUGCGUGUGUCCCUGGAAACGUGGUUGGCUGGGACUCAGAUGAAUGUUGGUGUAUCCAUGUGUGGGACUCCAAGAGAAGUGUGUGUAAGAGUCACUUCUUCUGGAGAUCAAGAGUUUAGGCCAGUACAGCAGCUUAGCAUUAAAUCUGUAGAAGUCAAGAACCCCAAACCUCCUGUUGAAUCCAGCAAAGGCUUAGAAGAGUUAUGUGACUGUAGAUCUCGAGCAGCCAGCAGGAUGGCAGUGGGGGACAGCAGCCAGUCCAGCCUCUUCAGCACUCAGGUUGGAAAAGACACUGGUGACUGUUCCAACACAGAACAUGUGAAUGCAAACAGAGAAGAAAGGAGAAACAAACACUUCCAGCAAAGCAGCUGGAGGAACUGGGAAGCUCCUGACCACUCUGAAGAACCUUCUGUAGAGAGGAAUGCCAAAGAACCACGGUGCUGUGAAGAAGGGAGCCAGCCACAGGAAACUGUGCCCAGUGAGGUGUCAGAGAACAGCUUCUGGUCUCCAAAGAUGAAUGAGCAAAGUUUCCAGCAUUUACAUGACAGACAAAUGGUAACUAGGUGUUUCCAUGCCUGGAGGGACCACAUCAUCUGGAAGAGGGCUGCAGCAAGGCAGCAGCAGCAGCCUCAAAAGGCCCUUGGUGUAGCCCAGCAGAGAGGUGCCUCAGCUCUUUUAGCUGCCAGCUUCCACAAGUGGAAGGAAGCUGUGACAAAACAGAGCCAAAAACAAGCUGCACAGUCUGAGUCAUAUUCGUAUACCCAAAGUUCAUCAGUGGGUUUUUCUGGAAUAGGAAGAUUAGCAACUAUGACAACCCCAGCUCAGCACCAGCUUACAGAAGGAUACAUGAAGGAAGCUGAGCAGGCUUGUAGGGUGGAGAGCGAACUGUGGACACAGCUUCAUCGCAGGCAGAGAGGAGACGAGUUCUAUUGGAGAGCUCAAGCAAUAAGAGAUGUGAGACGCCUAGCUGCAGCUUUCAGACUGUGGCGCCUUCAGAAGGAGCUGCUGAGCAAUGAGGAAGGCAAGCUGCUGGAAGCAUAUGCCCUGAUGGAAAAGAAAAGGCUACAAAACAUUUUCCAGGUGUGGCAGUCCCGAUACUUGGAAAAGAAAAAGAUUUUAGGGCUGACAAUUCAGAUCCAAAGAAACUUGGUCUCCCGGUGCUUCAGUGCAUGGAAAGAGGCUGUUGAGCUAAAGGCAUAUCACAAGAGCAGCCUGACACAUCUCAGAGUAGAAUCAAAGAGGAAAUACUUCCAGCAGUGGUUUCAAAUGUUGCAGGUCAGAAAAAGCAAUAAGCAGGCAAUGGUGAAACUCCUCCUUCUGAGAUGGAGGCAGCAUUAUGGACCAGCUGUAAGCUCAGUAUCUCACAGGACUACAACAGAAGGAGAUGACAGCUGGCCAUGGUGGGCUGUAGUGACACAGUUUCCUGAGAAAACAGGCUACUCUCUUGAUGACUUCUGCCUAAAGAUGAAACUCCAGAGAGCGUAUCUGUUGUGGAAAGAGAGGCUGUACGAGCACUGCAGAGCUGAUUCUUUCUCUCAGGCUUUGGAGGAGCGUAGACUCAGAAAAGCUCUGAAAUUAUGGCACCAGAAGUAUCUCAUGCUGAAGGCAAACAAAGAAAGUCCUCAGCACUCUCACAGGGCUGCCUAUGAAGAACCUCUUGCUGUGCUGUUUUGUGAGGAACGCUCAACAUCUUCUGGCUUCCACAGCAGUGCUCCAACUACUCUUGCCUCUCAAAGCUCACUGGAAAAGGAAUACAGUUUCAGUGACAGCAGCCAGCAGAGCUGCUCCUCCGUUCUGACUGCUGAGGAUGUGACAUAUCUGCCUUAUUACAAUUCUUUCCUGCAACUACACCAAUGUGCAGAGCUGCCAGCUGAGCUGGGUGGAGAGCUGUGCUUGCAGGCUUCCUUUCCUCCAUGGAGGAGUAGAUCUGGAGAAAAUUGGUUUGUGGAAGGUCAGUUCCAGUCUUUGGCACUGCAGAGUGCAGACAGUAAUGUCCAGCCUCUUGUCAGUUACUCUACAUGGGAAGAGGACUGCAGCUCUGAGAAGGAGGCAGAGAGUUCCUGGCACCAUGUGGAGAAAUGCUGCCUGGAGAAGUACUUCAUCAUCUGGUCCACUCGAACUCAGCAACUCACAAAGGCCCAGCAGUACUGCAGGCUUCUUCAGCUGUCUCGAGCCUUUCUCAGGUGGCACCGCUGCGCUGCGGAGAACAAGAACCAAGAAGUAGCAGCAGCCCUUAAAUACCAAUUUAAUUGCUGCCGGAUGGCUUUCAGCUUGUGGAAGAAGAGACUGGCCCAGAAAGUGGAAGCUGACCAGAGAUUCAGGUGUCACCUCCACCAGAUGACUGCUGAUGCUCUUCGGCGUUGGCAUUCCUACUGUCAAAGGAAGUGUAACAUGAAGGAGCUGCAGCAGAGAUGGGCUCAGCAUAGCUGCCAGGAGAAGAAGAGAUUGAUCCUGCAGAAGUGGCGCUGCCAAACAAGGCAGCUGAAAAAUGCUGCUUUAUUCUGGGAGCGUCUCCUCCUGCACAGGUGUGUAGUCAUCUGGGCCCGGGUCACUGCCUGCUCACUGAGGCAGCAAGAAGCCCUCUGUUAUUUUAGAAGGGUCAGAGAGAACCAUCUUCUGGAAGUGAGUUUUGCAGAAUGGAGAGUGAAGUUCUUGACAGCUAAACAGCAGUUGGUGGAAGAAGAGAAAAACCACACAUGGCAUGGAUGUUCUCAAGCUAAAGCCUGUCAGCGCUGGCGAUUGGCCUCAAGGGGACAGCAAGCCCUACACUUGGGGUCUGUGGCCACUGUGAAACAGGCCUGCAACUAUUGGACAAAAGCAGCUGCCUUUUCCCAGUGCUCACGGCAAUGCAGUACCCUGAUAGGCGCUAGGAAGAGCAAGAAGAUGUCUUUGUCUUUGUCCAUGAAAAGGAGAGGAUGCAGAGAGAAAGGUUCAGCUCCAGCUGCUUCCCUUGGGUUUUUUCCCAGUGCUUUUCACCGCUGGCUGGUGAUCUACAGAAGCCAAAGGAGGACCGAAAGGCUGCUGCUCCCUCAACAGCUAGAGGGGCAUGAUUUGGUAGGACCUGUCCCUGGGCACGCCAGGAUCCAGGAGGACAAAGCAGAGGUGGACUCUGAUGAGUGGAAUGACAAUUGGCUUGGGAGGAAGUACCUGAGGUGGUGGCAUCACACGGUGACGCUGCGCCGGUGCCAGCGUGCCAGGAGGCUGCACAGUCUGGCAAGGGGUUGGCAGCAGUGGAAAGAAGCCAGCAGGGUGGUGAUGCUGGCACAGAUGUUGGACCAGCAGCGGCUGAUAGAAAAGGCCUGGAGAGCGUGGAGACGUCGGUAUUUACAAAGCUGUGUAGUGCAGAGGUUUUUGGAGGUUGAAGCCAGGAGCCUAUUGUCUGAGGCAUUUGGAAGAUGGCGUCAGCUCACAGCGUUCCAACUCAAGCACAGAGGACACUGCUGAAUGGUGGGCAGCUGCCUGCAGCUGCUUAUUUUGGGAGUGGAGGAUACGGCUGGCAGUCACAACAAAGAGCUGGUCUCUUGCAAUCAAGAAAGCAGUGCAUGAUCUACCUGUGUGAUUCAAAACAGUGCUGCAGGCCCAAAGCGUGGUGAUAGCCAAAGGACAACCAGGAAGAAGGGGGAUCCAGAGAAAG